rnacentral:lncRNA from 1 species
AAGCUGGAGCUAAAGUAGUAACUUAAAGCUAAAUUUGGACCCCACCAUUAUAUGGGAUGAGUCCUUUAUUGUGCCUCAAAGAUUUAGGAUGUAGUCUUAAAUAAUUGAUCAACUCCUAUAUUUAAGAGAACUUGAGGCUCUUCAAACAUGUGUUCUUUGAUUUGCAUUGUAUCUUUUAUCCAAAAGAAUGGUUGAUUUUCUUUCACAACAUUAAUCAUUUGAUCAUAUUUGCAC